rnacentral:tRNA from 1 species
CCGGAAUAGCUCAGUCGGUAGAGCAGGGGACUGAAAAUCCUCGUGUCACCAGUUCAU